GCUUGUACGGCGAGUGAGCGGCAAAAGCUCAAAUUUGAAAUCUGGUACCUUCGGUGCCCGAGUUGUAAUUUGGAGAGGGCAACUUUGGGGCCGUUCCUUGUCUAUGUUCCUUGGAACAGGACGUCAUAGAGGGUGAGAAUCCCGUGUGGCGAGGAGUGCGGUUCUUUGUAAAGUGCCUUCGAAGAGUCGAGUUGUUUGGGAAUGCAGCUCUAAGUGGGUGGUAAAUUCCAUCUAAAGCUAAAUAUUGGCGAGAGACCGAUAGCGAACAAGUACAGUGAUGGAAAGAUGAAAAGAACUUUGAAAAGAGAGUGAAAAAGUACGUGAAAUUGUUGAAAGGGAAGGGCAUUUGAUCAGACAUGGUGUUUUGUGCCCUCUGCUCCUUGUGGGUAGGGGAAUCUCGCAUUUCACUGGGCCAGCAUCAGUUUUGGUGGCAGGAUAAAUCCAUAGGAAUGUAGCUUGCCUCGGUAAGUAUUAUAGCCUGUGGGAAUACUGCCAGCUGGGACUGAGGACUGCGACGUAAGUCAAGGAUGCUGGCAUAAUGGUUAUAUGCCGCCCGUCUUGA
rnacentral:rRNA from 1 species